rnacentral:rRNA from 1 species
UUCGGGAGCCUAUACAGGUGGUGCAUGGUUGUCGUCAGCUCGUGCCGUGAGGUGUUGGGUUAAGUCCCGCAACGAGCGCAACCCCUAUUGAUAGUUGCUAAUAUUAAGUUAAGGACUCUAUUGAGACUGCCAGCGACAAGCUGGAGGAAGGUGGGGAUGACGUCAAAUCAUCAUGGCCCUUACGACCAGGGCUACACACGUGCUACAAUGGCGCAUACAAAGAGAAGCGACCUCGCGAGAGCAAGCGGACCUCAUAAAGUGCGUCGUAGUCCGGAUUGGAGUCUGCAACUCGACUCCAUGAAGUCGGAAUCGCUAGUAAUCGUGGAUCAGAAUGCCACGGUGAAUACGUUCCCGGGUCUU